rnacentral:ncRNA from 1 species
AUUCGGUGUCCGCAAGGACUCAAUAGGGAAUCGGGUGUGAAUCCCGUACAGUUCCCGCUGCUGUGUCGGUUGGACGCUUGCCCGUAUGCCACUGUCUGACGCUGGUCGGAUGGGAAGGCGGCAAGUUGAGACCCAAGUCAGAAGACCUGCCUUAUGUCGUA